rnacentral:rRNA from 1 species
GGCCUAGGCGGCUUGGCAAGUCGGAUGUGAAAUCCCACGGCUCACCCGUGGAACUGCGUUCGAAACUGCUUCGCUUGAGUACGGGAGAGGAGAGUGGAAUUCUCGGUGUAGCGGUGGAAUGCGUAGAUAUCGAGAAGAACACCGGUGGCGAAGGCGGCUCUCUGGCCCGAUACUGACGCUGAAGCCCGAAAGCCAGGGGAGCGAACG